UCUCACGAACACGAGCACCAUACCAGCAGCAGCGCACUCGAGUACCUUCUAGGCUCUCCGCCGCUGACCGCCGCCGGCUGCACGACGGGCCGUCGCCCGCGCCUCCCACAGCAGCACGCCACAAUGGAGGCCGAGCGCCCAUGGCGUCACCCAAGGACACCUUCUAGCCGCCGUUCUCCUUCAAAUUCGUCGGGAUCCGGCCUGAUCCGGACGGAUCCGGAUGUCGGCGGCCCAUUCCCGACCUUCCUGCCUCGCCUGGUUUGUCGGCCACUCCGAUGUCGUCAUCUUCGUCACGGGAUCCAGCGCUACCGAUGGCUGGCCUCCUCCUCGCCUGGAUGUGCCCCCCCACGCUGGCGCCUCCAAUCCGAGCAGCGGCAGCGAACACCUCGACAAGGGCGUCUCCGGCGUCAUCUUUAUUUUAAUUUUAUUUUAAAGAAGUUUGCCCGAUCAGUGGCCAGAGAAAAUAUUAGUCUCUUCUAGAACAGCGGAGACUUUCUUAAUAAGCGCAUUAAUAUAUGAAUUAUAUUCAUAAUUAUCAUAAAAAAAUUUAAGAUAGCUAAAUUUUCAGGCCUA